GAGCGAACGGGGAGGAGCCCAGAGCCUGAAUCAGUGUGUGUGUUAGUGGAAGCGUCUGGAAAGGCGCGCGAUACAGGGUGACAGCCCCGUACACAAAAAUGCACAUGCUGUGAGCUCGAUGAGUAGGGCGGGACACGUGGUAUCCUGUCUGAAUAUGGGGGGACCAUCCUCCAAGGCUAAAUACUCCUGACUGACCGAUAGUGAACCAGUACCGUGAGGGAAAGGCGAAAAGAACCCCGGCGAGGGGAGUGAAAAAGAACCUGAAACCGUGUACGUACAAGCAGUGGGAGCCUCUUUAUGGGGUGACUGCGUACCUUUUGUAUAAUGGGUCAGCGACUUAUAUUCUGUAGCAAGGUUAACCGAAUAGGGGAGCCGAAGGGAAACCGAGUCUUAACUGGGCGUUAAGUUGCAGGGUAUAGACCCGAAACCCGGUGAUCUAGCCAUGGGCAGGUUGAAGGUUGGGUAACACUAACUGGAGGACCGAACCGACUAAUGUUGAAAAAUUAGCGGAUGACUUGUGGCUGGGGGUGAAAGGCCAAUCAAACCGGGAGAUAGCUGGUUCUCCCCGAAAGCUAUUUAGGUAGCGCCUCGUGAAUUCAUCUCCGGGGGUAGAGCACUGUUUCGGCAAGGGGGUCAUCCCGACUUACCAACCCGAUGCAAACUGCGAAUACCGGAGAAUGUUAUCACGGGAGACACACGGCGGGUGCUAACGUCCGUCGUGAAGAGGGAAACAACCCAGACCGCCAGCUAAGGUCCCAAAGUCAUGGUUAAGUGGGAAACGAUGUGGGAAGGCCCAGACAGCCAGGAUGUUGGCUUAGAAGCAGCCAUCAUUUAAAGAAAGCGUAAUAGCUCACUGGUCGAGUCGGCCUGCGCGGAAGAUGUAACGGGGCUAAACCAUG
rnacentral:rRNA from 1 species